GACGAACCGUGCGAACGUUAUUCGGAAUCACUGGGCUUAAAGCGCGUGUAGGCGGAUGGGAACGUCGGCACCUGAAAGCCCCCGGCUCAACCGGGGAACGGGGUCCGAAACGACCCGUCUGGAGGGACGUAGGGGGAUCUGGAACUUCCGGUGGAGCGGUGAAAUGCGUUGAGAUCGGAAGGAACGCCCGUGGCGAAAGCGAGAUCCUGGACGUCUACUGACGCUGAGACGCGAAAGCUAGGGGAGCGAACGGG
rnacentral:rRNA from 1 species